UUGAACGCUGGCGGCAGGCCUAACACAUGCAAGUCGAGCGCGAAAGCACUUCGGUGUGAGUAAAGCGGCGGACGGGUGAGUAACGCGUAGGAAUCUACCUAGUAGUGGGGGACAACUCGGGGAAACUCGAGCUAAUACCGCAUACGCCCUACGGGGGAAAGCGGGGGACCUUUGGGCCUCGUGCUAUUAGAUGAGCCUGCGUUGGAUUAGCUAGUUGGUGGGGUAAAGGCCUACCAAGGCGACGAUCCAUAGCUGGUCUGAGAGGAUGAUCAGCCACACCGGGACUGAGACACGGCCCGGACUCCUACGGGAGGCAGCAGUGGGGAAUAUUGCGCAAUGGGCGAAAGCCUGACGCAGCCAUGCCGCGUGUGUGAAGAAGGCCUUCGGGUUGUAAAGCACUUUCAAUUGGGAGGAA
rnacentral:rRNA from 1 species